UGGGCUUGUGCUGAGAG
rnacentral:misc_RNA from 1 species